rnacentral:rRNA from 1 species
AAUUCGAUUAAGAGGAGCUCGCGUCUGAUUAGCUAGUUGGUAGGGUAACGGCUUACCAAGGCGACGAUCAGUAACUGGUCUGAGAGGAUGACCAGUCACACUGGGACUGAGACACGGCCCAGACUCCUACGGGAGGCAGCAGUGGGGAAUUUUCCGCAAUGGGCGCAAGCCUGACGGAGCAAUACCGCGUGAGGGAGGAAGGCUCUUGGGUCGUAAACCUCUUUUAUCAGGGAAGAACACAAUGACGGUACCUGAUGAAUCAGCAUCGGCUAACUCUGUGCCAGCAGCCGCAGUAAUACAGAGGAUGCAAGCGUUAUCCGGAAUUAUUGGGCGUAAAGCGUCCGCAGGUGGUUUUGGUAGUCUGCUGUCAAAGCGCGAGGCUCAACUUCGUAUCGGCGGUGGAAACUCCAAGACUAGAGUUUGGUAGGGGUCACGGGAAUUCCCAGUGUAGCGGUGAAAUGCGUAGAUAUUGGGAAGAACACCAGCGGCGAAAGCGCGUGACUGGGCCUGAACUGACACUCAUGGACGAAAGCUAGGGGAGCGAAAGGGAUUAGAUACCCCUGUAGUCCUAGCCGUAAACGAUGACAACUAGGUGUUGCCCGUAUCGACCCGGGCAGUGCCGUAGCCAACGCGUUAAGUUGUCCGCCUGGGGAGUACGCACGCAAGUGUGAAACUCAAAGGAAUUGACGGAAUCACUA